GGAGGAUUCGCCUAGCGGCCUAGGGCGCACGCUUGGAAAGCGUGUUGGGUUUACACCCUCACGAGUUCGAAUCUCGUAUCCUCCG
rnacentral:tRNA from 2 species